UACGUAGGGUGCAAGCGUUAAUCGGAAUUACUGGGCGUAAAGCGUGCGCAGGCGGUUGUGUAAGUCUGUCGUGAAAUCCCCGGGCUCAACCUGGGAACUGCAUUCAAAACUGACAAGCUAGAGUAUGGUAGAGGGUGGUGGAAUUUCCUGUGUAGUGGUGGAAUGCGUAGAGAUCCGGAGGAACACCAGUGGCGAAGGCGGCGACCUGGGUAGAUACUGACGCUGAGGCGCGAAAGCGUGGGGAGCAAACAGG
rnacentral:rRNA from 1 species